rnacentral:rRNA from 1 species
GACGAACGCUAGCGGGAUGCCUUACACAUGCACGUCGAACGGAGCGGCGAACGGGUGAGUAAUGCCUAGGAACCUGCCCAGUAGUGGGGGAUAACUUCGGGAAACCGGAGCUAAUACCGCAUACUAUUAGAACAGCCGAGAGCGGAUUGGCUAGUUGGUGGGGUAACGGCUCACCAAGGCGACUAUCCGUAUAUGGUCUGAGAGGAUGAGCAGCCACACUGGUACGUAGACACGGCCCAGACUCCUACGGGAGGCAGCAGUGGGGAAUUGUGGACAAUGGGUGAAACCCUGAUCCAGCCAUCCCGCGUGUGUGAUGAAGGUCUUCGGAUUGUAAAGCACUUUUAGUUGGAAGGCGGUACCAACAGAAUAAGCACCGGCUAACUUCGUGCCAGCCGCCGCGGUAAUAC